rnacentral:tRNA from 1 species
GCCGAAGUAGCUCAGUUGGUAGAGCAGCGGUAUCGUAAACCGCAGGUCGCCGGUUCGAUCCCGGCCUUCGGCU